rnacentral:lncRNA from 1 species
CUUACUUAUGAGGACAUAAACUAACUUGGAAAGUCCUGAAGUGCAGUGCUGUCUAAUGCCGCUAUUUCUGUAUUACCCUUUCAACAAUUGGGGUGCUGCACAGAGUAUUGUGGUGAACAUCUAGCACACAGAAGAAUUAAGAACUAUGUGGAAGCUGACAUUGUCUUGUUGUCAGCCAUAUUGCUACCCUUAGCUAUGUUAUGGUGUCUAAGAUUAUG